rnacentral:lncRNA from 1 species
UUUAAUCAUUUAAAAAUGACAUUAAAAUACAUUUUAAUUUAGGCAAAACCUCAAAUCCCUUAAAAAUAUCAAAUAAAUGGCCAAGGGAUUUAUCCUAGGUCAAACAAGGACAAAGGACCUUAUACAAAAAAUUUCAUAAUUUUUCGAAAGUAAGAAGUAUUUUUAAAUAAUUAAAAAUAUGCACAAAAAUAUUUAAUUCAUGGAAAAUACCAAAGUUAAUCCAAAAAAUAAUUUUAAUUCAGAAUAUGGAAGAGGAGAA